UACGUAGGGUGCAAGCGUUGUCCGGAAUUAUUGGGCGUAAAGAGCGUGUAGGCGGCCCGGUUAGUCCGCUGUGAAAGUCCAGGGCUCAACCCUGGAAUGCCGGUGGAUACUGUCGGGCUAGAGUCCGGAAGGGGCGAGUGGAAUUCCUGGUGUAGCGGUGAAAUGCGCAGAUAUCAGGAGGAACACCGGUGGCGAAGGCGGGUCUCUGGGCCAUUACUGACGCUGAGGAGCGAAAGCGUGGGGAGCGAACAGG
rnacentral:rRNA from 1 species